GGAGGGACGGAACGCGGCGGGGCGCGGGGGAACGUGGACAAUGCGAAUGCUGCGGCCCUGGGCGCCCCGCCCGGGCGCGGACCACACGGCUGCGGGCCCGCCCCACAGCGCCCCGCGGCGUCCUUCCCAAAUCUGCGGUCCCCAGGCACUGUCUGCGGCUGUGACGGGGUCUCUUAGAGCUGUCGGGAGAGACUACCAGGCCACUGUCGCCAAGUUUGUAUUUCCCCUUGAGCUCUGAAGAUUCUCCUCUGUGUUAAGGGGCUGUCUUCUGUCAAAAAAUACUUGCCAGAGCCCAAGGAGACAGUAACUCACCUUCAAAGUUUGUUUUUAAAUGAAUAUUCUGUCAUUGGCCUAUUUAUUUACAAUAUGUGUUUUUAAGUCCUCUCAUGACUUAGAAUGGAAAACAAGCAAACAUCGAUGAACAUGAAACAGGUUUCAUGAAACAAGUUUAAUAAAAAGUCAUGGUACAAACUUUUUUACUAUUUUUUUUCUUAUUGCUAAUUUUUAAACUAUCUUACUUUUUUACUAAAAGUCUUUCCCACAAUAACCAGUAUCACACAAUCAAUGAAAAUGACUUAAAAGAGGAAAAUUGCUGUGGACCAUUAUUAAAAAAAACAGCUCUAUUUUGUUCUCGUACUGAAACUUUUUGAAGGCCAGCUUGAUUUUCAAGUUGUGAUCUUGUGGACUUUACAAAGUGGGUAAUGCUAUUUGACUGUUGUUCAAAAAGCCAGAAGCAUGUAUCUGCAGUGCCAUGGGGUUGGAGAGGGAUACAGGAUUACACAGCUGUCUUCUUAGAUAAAUCUGACCUACUUAGCCUUCUCUGGAGGUAUUUUUCAUGCUGACUCAUGAACAACAGGAAAGUUAUGGCCCAUUAAGUAGCAUCCAUGUUUUGAAGUAAACUUCUUCUCCAAAGAAGACUCCUGUGUCAUUGAUGCCAUUAUUUGCCUGCAGAUGAAAACCAAGCAAGUCUAUAAAUGUGAGUUACAUCUCAACACAUUCUACAUAAAACUGACAGUGAAGCAUCAAGUCCAAAUCACCUGUCUCUAGUCUAGAGAAGAUUCAACACACCAGGUCACAUGGUGGGUUGUAAAGACUGAAAGAGAUACUAUAUGUGAGCAGAUAACUAAAGAGGUCCCUGAAACAAGAAGCUGGUACACAGGCCAGUGUCUCAAAGGGAGCAGGGUUCUGAGCAGGAAAUGGCUAAGACAGUCUCCAGUUGUCAGAGGAAGUUGAUGUAAUGAAGGCAAGACUACGGGAAAAUGUUGCUCAAUUAUUAAGACCAAAUACUUCAGAUCACCUCUGAAGAAGCCCAGAUUUUAUCUCAGAACAAAAAGGUAAGAGGCUGAGAGGAUUAGAUAAAAUAUGUGCAGAAGUGCUUUGCCAACUGAGAAAUGCUUUAUAAAUACUUGCCCUGGAGAUAAGGGCUUCACUCUAAAAGACAAAACAAAGCAAAACGACAACAAAAAAACAAACAAAAAGAUUGCAAAAUUAGCCAGUGUGUUUUUAAACUAUAAUUCUAAAUCGAUUAUUUCAUAAAUUCUUAUAGUUCUAAUUUUGAAGAAGAGUUGGUAAAAUCAUAAUCUUUUUUUUCUAUUUGAAGCUAUGAUUUUAUCUUGAUCAUUUAACCAUUUUGGCUCUUUCCAGAUUUUUGGUAAUCUAUAAGCCAGCCCUAAUUAAAUUGAUCAUGUUGUGAAUUAGUGAAAUAGUCUAAAAACACCAAAAUUGGCCAUGAUUGCCUCAAUGAUUUUUGUAGUCUUAAUAUUUUAAAUCAAAUGACCACUUAAUCACUCAUUCAUGCAUGCAUUCAUUCAGGAAAAUUGCAAGAGAGACGAUGUGUCUAGGUAGUAAGGCAAUAGAAAGGUACAGAACACUAAAGACUUAAAAAAAAUAAAAAUAUGAAAGUAGGGUUACGUUACAUAAAUUGUUCUUUCUGCUGAUCUCCGUGAGUAAAUAAAUAACUUAAAUCUUUUCAAAGAACACCAUUUGAUCGUUCUUGCCUAAUCUUAGCAUUUGGCUUUGUGAAGCCUGCUGAGUUGUGCUAGCUAAAUGCUUGCACUUACACGCACUUACAUGUUUCCUCAAUGUUUGGUCCGCCAGGGCCAAGAGUCAGCUUCUACCUCAUGCCUCAGGGAUAUCAGGUUUCAACUCAUAUCGUCUGCAUAUUGUAUACCUCCCCUCGUGCCUCAUUAAAAGGAACACUUUCCAUUUACUUUUCUUCUUGUGACUACUGGGUCCACGGUUGUUUUCUUUCUCUACUGUUGUUAAACAUCACCUGUAUCAUUAAGCCCAGAUGUACAAAGGUAUAGAGCAACACUUCUAGCUGAGAAAGGUAGUCAUCUUGACUAGAUACAAGUUUAUCCAUGCGAUGAAAGUACCAUUUCAUUUUUGAUGGCCUUCAUUUAGCAUUUAUCGCUGGGGCUGGGUUUUGUGUUGCCUUUAUAAACACACACACACACACACACACACACACACACACAGCCUAGUUCUUUUUAGGCGCUUCUCCAGCUGUGAGUUUAGCAAGGCUUCCUGCUAAUGGGGAGACAGAAUUACAGCUCCAAACAUUCCCCUGCCACUGAUCCAGAACAUGUGUUAUCAUAUCACACACUGUCAAUUGAUUCCAAAUCCCUGCCAACAGGGCACAGUCUGCAUUCCAAAUAUCUAAGGCCCUGGGACAGUGAAUUAUAAAACAGAAAUAUGCUAUGCUUUCUCCUUUAAUUUGGUGCACACAUGACUAAGUUUGCUGAACAUUUUUGAUUCUUAGAAUACGUUUGCUUUUUUUUCCCCCUGAAAACAUAGAACAGCCUACAAAAUCUCUGUACGUUAGUGGCAAUAGACUUAUUCUGAAGAUCCCCAGUCUCCUCCGUGUCACUUCCAAUCUCUUGGUAAAGGUUGGUUAACAGGAAAUAGGGCAAGAUGGAAGGGAGCUCACAUUUAGGAUAAUAAAGUGACUCUCAUUCAACUGAUGAGAGACAUAAACAGUCUGACUAUGAUGGUCCCACGGGAGUAGAAGGCUAAGAUUUCAAACGCUAUAUAAACAGUUGCAAAUCUCUGCAAUUACUCUACAAAUGGACUCCUAGCGCACA